ensembl:lncRNA novel transcript
GAAGCCCAUGAAAGCCUUUGGUUCAGCCAGAGCUGAGCAGACAACUGGACAACCAGCUGCAGAGAGGAACUACCCUCUCUGCUGAGAGCUUCAGAGACCUGCGCAGACAUCGGGACUACCAGCUGCAGAGAGAAGCUACCCUCUCCAGGGCCUCUUCUCUGCUGGGAGCAGCAGACAUUGGGAUGACCUGCUGCAGAGAAGAGCCUCACUCUUCAAGGCUUCCUUUCUGAUGAGAGCAGCAGAGAUGGGGCCAACCAGUUGCAGAGAGGAGCCACGCUCUCUAGGGUCUCCUCUAUGCUGAGAGCUGAACACUCACUGAAGUGACCCGCCAGCAGAGAGGAGCCACCCACUCCACCCACUCCAGGCCUCCUCUCUGCUGAGAGCUGAAUACUGGAUGGGACAACCUGCCUACAGAGAGGAGCUACUCACUGUUGGUCUCCUCUGAGCUGUUCUAAUACUCAGUAAGGCUCCUUUUUAUCUUGCUCACCCUCCACUUGUCUGCAUACCUCAUUCUUCCUGGAUGCAGGGCAAGAACUCAGGCAAAGGUGCCACCAGCCACAGAGGUUUCUAGCCAGAAAAGUGACACACAAAAGAUCCCAUAACAUUUUGGGGGCUGAUGUGGGAUCUGUGGAAGGAUGGGUAACCAACCAUCCUCAGCCUGCACUCCCCUUGAGUGUAUUCUGAAUCACUGGGACUCCGUUGACCCUCAGACUGUAGAGAAAGAGGAAAAAACCUUUUCCCUCCUCUGUCCUCUCUUCCAGCCAGGCAUGACCAUGUAACAGUUUGGGCUGCUGAGCCAGAAGGGAAAGAGUACUACUGCUAGACUUCCAGGAAGGCUGCUCUAAGAAAGAUGACUCAGAGGUUGCACUUUUUUAGUUUUGGGGGUUUUUUUCCCUCUACUUCCUGCUUCUUGGAACUAGGACAUGAUGUCUGGAACUCUAGCAGCCAUUUUGGACCAUGAGGUGAUUGUGCGACUAGAAGACACAUCGUAGAAUGGAGCACCAAGACGAAAGCCCCCAAAGCUGCCCUAUAAGACCUGGACUUCAAACCAGCAAACUUCUUCCAUGUGAGAGAGAAAUAAGCUUAGGUUUUGUUUCUGCCAGUGUUAUCUUUGUUUUCGGUUAUGAGCCACUAAAUGUGAUCCCACUUGUUACCCCAGUCAUUCUCCCAACUUCCUAGACCCAUUAAUAGCAUUCUACACUCACAGUCCAUCAGUGGUGCAAGACUACAACACGAUUUUAAAUCCAAAAGUGAUAUAAAUGAUUUUGUGAUUCUGUGCUGCUGAGAUAUGUGCUUUUUUCAACUUGCAAAAUAUACUAUUGAAAUCUAUAGUUAAAAAAAAAA